rfam:Pteropus alecto contig61349, whole genome shotgun sequence.
GUCUACGGCCAUGCCACCCUGAACAUGCUCAAUCUCAUCUGAUCUUGGAAGCUAAACAGGGUCGGCCCUGGUUAGUACUUGGAUGGGAGACCACCUGGAAUACCAGGUGCUGUUGGUG